UCUCGUGAGACUUUUUGCAUGUACCUUAUGAAUAAGGACCGGCUAAUUCCGUGCCAGCAGCCGCGGUAAUACGGAAGGUCCGGGCGUUAUCCGGAUUUAUUGGGUUUAAAGGGAGCGUAGGCCGGAGAUUAAGCGUGUUGUGAAAUGUAGACGCUCAACGUCUGCACUGCAGCGCGAACUGGUUUCCUUGAGUACGCACAAAGUGGGCGGGAUUCGUGGUGUAGCGGUGAAAUGCUUAGAUAUCACGAAGAACUCCGAUUGCGAAGGCAGCUCACUGGAGCGCAACUGACGCUGAAGCUCGAAAGUGCGGGUAUCAAAGAGCAUUAGAUACCCUGGUAGUCCGCACGGUAACCUCAAUAAGGCCCGCUGUUGGUCUGAAUAGGUCAGCGGCCCAGCGAAAGCAUUAAGCAUCCCCCCUGGGGAGUACGCCGGCAACGGUGAAACUCAAAGGAAUUGACGGGGGCCCGCACAAGCGGAGGAACAUGUGGUUUAAUUCGAUGAUACGCGAGGAACCUUACCCGGGCUUGAAUUGCAGAGGAAGGAUUUGGAGACAAUGACGCCCUUCGGGGCCUCUGUGAAGGUGCUGCAUGGUUGUCGUCAGCUCGUGCCGUGAGGUGUCGGCUUAAGUGCCAUAACGAGCGCAACCCCUCUCCUUAGUUGCCAUCAGGUGAAGCUGGGCACUCUGGGGACACUGCCACCGUAAGGUGUGAGGAAGGUGGGGAUGACGUCAAAUCAGCACGGCCCUUACGUCCGGGGCUACACACGUGUUACAAUGGCAGGUACAGAGAGACGGUCCCUUGCAAAAUGGAUCAAAUCCUUAAAGCCUGUCUCAGUUCGGACUGGGGUCUGCAACCCGACCCCACGAAGCUGGAUUCGCUAGUAAUCGCGCAUCAGCCAUGGCGCGGUGAAUAAAAGGCCCCCCCUUGCACU
rnacentral:rRNA from 1 species